UUCCCUGCAUAGUGCGUGUAGACUGGAAUUUUAGAACCAACAAAUUUUAAAAGGGAGUCCGCCUUUGAAUGUGGCGUGUAUGCUUAUAUAUUUCUAUAAGAAACCCAGGAGCAUUCAACAAGACACCCACCUGUGCAAACAGGUCCUUAAAAUUUCAUUCAUCUUACGGCUAAAGCGGGGUUU
rnacentral:other from 1 species